rnacentral:rRNA from 1 species
CCUACGGGUGGCAGCAGUGGGGAAUAUUGCGCAAUGGGCGAAAGCCUGACGCAGCGACGCCGCGUGAGGGAUGAAGGUCUUCGGAUCGUAAACCUCUGUCAGCAGGGAAGAACGGUCACGGUGCUAAUCAGCAGUGAAUGGACGGUACCUGCAAAGGAAGCACCGGCUAACUCCGUGCCAGCAGCCGCGGUAAUACGGAGGGUGCGAGCGUUCAUCGGAAUUACUGGGCGUAAAGCGCUCGUAGGCGGUAUGUCAAGUCAAGGGUGAAAUCCCCGCGCUCAACGUGGGAACUGCCUUUGAAACUGGCAAACUGGAGUGUGUGAGAGGCUAGUGGACUUCCCGGUGUAGGCGU